rnacentral:misc_RNA from 1 species
UACGUAGGGCGCAAGCGUUAUCCGGAAUUACUGGGUUUAAAGGGUCCGUAGGCGGGACAAUAAGUCAGCGGUGAAAGUCUGUGGCUCAACCAUAGAAUUGCCAUUGAUACUGUUGUUCUUGAGUGUUUAUGAAGUGGUUGGAAUAUGUAGUGUAGCGGUGAAAUGCUUAGAUAUUACAUAGAACACCGAUUGCGAAGGCAGAUCACUAAUAAAAUACUGACGCUGAUGGACGAAAGCGUAGGUAGCGAACAGG